CUCAGACCCAGUGGGCGCUGUGUGGAACCAGAGGAGCUUGAAAGUAGAAAACAGGUGGCCCUUGGUCGGAGUGGCCCAGCAAUGGGGAGCAUCCCUCGUGGGCCCAGUGUCCUGCACCUUCGUUUCCUGGGUCCCUGGGUCAGUGUGGUACCCUGCGCAUUUACCUGAAGAUUAAAUCGUGCUGAUUACUAUCUUGGAGAUGUCAUGUAAUGAAAAUCUUGGCUUCGCUGUGGAAUAUGGGAGAUGUGGAGGAGGGUAAAUGAUUAUUUCGCCAGUUUUGUUGCAGAUUUGGAGAGUCAGGGACUCUUGUCUCAGAAGAGUGGGUGCCCUCAGGAAAAGGGGGGACCCUGAUGAAGCAAUGGAACAACAGAGGCCCAGGAAGAGCCAAACUAAUAGAAGCUAAGGACGGAGAAAAAUGAAUGAUGGAAUAAAUUGGGCAAACGUGACUUUACACCCUCUCAAGUCCUUUUGUACACCCCAAAUAUGCUGCUCAGUACAUCGUUCUUUCCUUCAUCCUUCAUGCCACCCCCUCCCAAUCAUCACUUUCAGGAAAG